rnacentral:rRNA from 1 species
UACGUAGGGCGCAAGCGUUGUCCGGAAUUAUUGGGCGUAAAGAGCUCGUAGGCGGUCUGUUGCGUCCGCUGUGAAAACCCGGGGCUUAACCCUGGGCUGGCAGUGGAUACGGACAGACUAGAGGUAGGUAGGGGAGAAUGGAAUUCCCGGUGUAGCGGUGAAAUGCGCAGAUAUCGGGAGGAACACCGGUGGCGAUGGCGGUUCUCUGGGCCUUACCUGACGCUGAGGAGCGAAAGCGUGGGGAGCGAACAGG